GUACCUCCAGUGAGAGUGACACAUAUCCACCCAGGCAGUGCAUGCAAGGCUCAGAUAGGGAUCAGAGAGGGGAAACUAGGGCAGUCACUACUCAGGGAACAGGGCUCCAGUUAGACAGUUUGGUGGAGGCAUUCCCAGCUAUCACUACCAAUAUUCAUUAUGUCCGACAGUGUGAAAGAAGGGCCAGCGGAAACCGUGGCAGAGGUUGAGGCAAAACCUACAGAAAGCCCAUGCGCUGAACUCAAGAUUGCCAUGGAGAAAUGUGUGGCUGAGAAAGGAGAAGACAGCUGCCAUGAACUAAUUCAAGCCUAUAAAGACUGUGUGAAAUCUCUUGGACCGCAGAUCUAAAGUCUGGCCAGGUGAGCGAGUGCUGAGAGGGGCCCGUGUUUUGAGUCCUUACGCCCCCAUCAUUCUCUCCUCUCCAAAUCCGACCAUUCCACUGGGACGAACAGAUGGGGUAGUCUUACUGUACAUGAUAAAUGCUGUUGGAUGUAUUUCCGCUGCCUGCGUCACGCCAGGAUCUACAUUGUACCAGCUGUGUGCCCUCCUGUCACAGGAGAAUAUGUUGUUCACAUGAUACUAAGCAGAGUGGAAUAAAACGUUCUAUAUUUUA